rnacentral:rRNA from 1 species
UUCCGGUUGAUCCUGCCGGAGGCCAUUGCUAUUGGAGUCCGAUUUAGCCAUGCUAGUCGUACGGGUUCAGACCCGUGGCGAAUAGCUCCGUAACACGUGGCCAAACUACCCUACGGAGGACCAUACCCUCGGGAAACUGAGGCUAAUAGUCCAUACGGUUCUCGCGCUGGAAUGCCGGGAAUCCGAAACGCUCCGGCGCCGUAGGAUGUGGCUGCGGCCGAUUAGGUAGACGGUGGGGUAACGGCCCACCGUGCCGAUAAUCGGUACGGGUUGUGAGAGCAAGAGCCCGGAGACGGAAUCUGAGACAAGAUUCCGGGCCCUACGGGGCGCAGCAGGCGCGAAACCUUUACACUGCACGCCAGUGCGAUAAGGGGACUCCGAGUGCGAGGGCAUACAGUCCUCGCUUUUGCCGACCGUAGGAUGGUCGGCGAAUAAGGGCUGGGCAAGACCGGUGCCAGCCGCCGCGGUAAUACCGGCAGCCCAAGUGAUGGCCGCUAUUAUUGGGCCUAAAGCGUCCGUAGCUGGCCGCGUCAGUCCGCCGGGAAAUCCAUCCGCUCAACGGAUGGGCGACCGGCGGAUCCUGCGCGGCUUGGGACCGGAAGACCCGAGGGGUACGUCCGGGGUAGGAGUGAAAUCCCGUAAUCCUGGACGGACCGCCGAUGGCGAAAGCACCUCGGGAGGACGGAUCCGACAGUGAGGGACGAAAGCUCGGGUCUCGAACCGGAUUAGAUACCCGGGUAGUCCGAGCCGUAAACGAUGCUCGUUAGGUGUGGCACAGGCUACGCGCCUGUGCUGUGCCGUAGGGAAGCCGCUAAACGAGCCGCCUGGGAAGUACGUCCGCAAGGAUGAAACUUAAAGGAAUUGGCGGGGGAGCACUACAACCGGAGGAGCCUGCGGUUUAAUUGGACUCAACGCCGGU